GAUGAACGCUGGCGGCGUGCCUAAUACAUGCAAGUCGAGCGAACGGAUGAGAAGCUUGCUCCUCUGACGUUAGCGGCGGACGGGUGAGUAACACGUGGAUAACCUACCUAUAAGACUGGGAUAACUUCGGGAAACCGGAGCUAAUACCGGAUAAUAUUUUGAACCGCAUGGUUCAAUAGUGAAAGACGGUCUUGCUGUCACUUAUAGAUGGAUCCGCGCUGCAUUAGCUAGUUGGUAAGGUAACGGCUUACCAAGGCAACGAUGCAUAGCCGACCUGAGAGGGUGAUCGGCCACACUGGAACUGAGACACGGUCCAGACUCCUACGGGAGGCAGCAGUAGGGAAUCUUCCGCAAUGGGCGAAAGCCUGACGGAGCAACGCCGCGUGAGUGAUGAAGGUCUUCGGAUCGUAAAACUCUGUUAUUAGGGAAGAACAAAUGUGUAAGUAACUAUGCACGUCUUGACGGUACCUAAUCAGAAAGCCACGGCUAACUACGUG
rnacentral:rRNA from 1 species